GUGGGGAAUAUUGGGCAAUGGGCGAAAGCCUGACCCAGCAACGCCGCGUGAAGGAAGAAGGUUUUCGGAUCGUAAACUUCUAUCCUUGGUGAAGAUAAUGACGGUAGCCAAGAAGGAAGCCCCGGCUAACUACGUGCCAGCAGCCGCGGUAAUACGUAGGGGGCAAGCGUUGUCCGGAAUGAUUGGGCGUAAAGGGCGCGUAGGCGGCCCGGUAAGUCUGAAGUGAAAGUCCUGCUUUUAAGGUGGGAAUUGCUUUGGAUACUGUCGGGCUUGAGUGCAGGAGAGGUAAGCGGAAUUCCCGGUGUAGCGGUGAAAUGCGUAGAGAUCGGGAGGAACACCAGUGGCGAAGGCGGCCCCCUGGACGAAGACUGACGCUCAGGUGCGAAAGCGUGGGGAGCAAACAGGAUUAGAAACCCGGGUAGUCC
rnacentral:rRNA from 1 species